rnacentral:tRNA from 1 species
GUUUNCUAUAGUGUAGUGGUUAUCACUCAGGAUUUUGAUUCCUGGAACCCAGGUUCGAACCCUGGUAGCGCCU